UACGUAGGAUCCGAGCGUUGUCCGGAUUUACUGGGUGUAAAGGGUGCGCAGCCGGACUGGUGAGUCUGGGGUGAAAUCUCGCUGCUUAACAGCGAAACUGCCUUAGAUACUAUCAGUCUUGGAUAAGCGAGAGGUUCGUGGAAUUCCGAGUGUAGCAGUGAAAUGUGUAGAUAUUCGGAAGAACACCAGUGGCGAAGGCAGCGAACUGGCGCUUUAUCGACGCUCAUGCACGAAAGCAUGGGGAUCAAACAGG
rnacentral:rRNA from 1 species